AACUUAGCUAAAGGUGACAUUGCACAC
rnacentral:sRNA from 1 species